AUGAUGGAGAGGGCCGAGGACUUAGGGCUCAGCCUCAGUCUCAGCUCGUCGCUUGCUCCUCGCACCCACCAUGUCGCCAUGCUGCUCCACGCUCCAGAGAGGAGAUUACUGGAGAUGCCACUGCUUCCUGCGAAGCGGGUCUGCGAGGUCUCUGCGGACGAGGAGCGCUCCGGCCAGCGUGGCGGCAGCGACGACGAGGACGGCGGCUGCGGCAUGGAUGGCUCCCGCAAGAAGCUCCGGUUGUCCAAGGACCAGUCCGCCGUGCUCGAGGACAGCUUCCGGGAGCACCCCACUCUGAACCCGAGGCAGAAGGCAGCCUUGGCGCAGCAGCUGGGCCUGCGGUCGCGGCAGGUGGAGGUGUGGUUCCAGAACAGACGCGCAAGGACGAAGCUGAAGCAGACGGAGGUGGACUGCGAGUUCCUGAAGCGAUGCUGCGAGACGCUGACGGAGGAGAACCGGCGGCUGCAGAAGGAGGUGCAGGAGCUCCGCGCGCUCAAGCUCGUCUCCCCGCACCACUACAUGCACAUGUCCCCGCCCACCACCCUCACCAUGUGCCCCUCCUGCGAGCGCGUCUCCAACAACAACAACAACAACAACAACAACUCCACCGCCGCCGACCGCCGCAACGGUGUCGAGGGCGCCAUCUGCCACCGACCCAUCGCCGUCCGGCCGCAGCAGUCAUGA
rnacentral:rRNA from 1 species